rnacentral:piRNA from 1 species
AAGGAAGUUAGGUCUUUGAGGUAGAC